GAUGAACGCUGGCGGCGUGCCUAACACAUGCGAGUCGAACGGAGAUUACGGACGGAAGUUUUCGGAUGGAAGCCUGUAAUUCUUAGUGGCGGACGGGUGAGUAACGCGUGGGCAACCUGCCCUAUACAGGGGGAUAGCAGCUGGAAACGGCUGGUAAGACCGCAUAAGUCGGUUAAAUCGCAUGAUUUGAUCGGGAAAUGAGCAAUCAGGUAUAGGAUGGGCCCGCGUCCGAUUAGCCAGUUGGCAGGGUAAAAGCCUACCAAAGCGACGAUCGGUAGCCGGACUGAGAGGUCGGACGGCCACAUUGGGACUGAGACACGGCCCAAACUCCUACGGGAGGCAGCAGUGGGGGAUAUUGCACAAUGGAGGAAACUCUGAUGCAGCGACGCCGCGUGAGUGAAGAAGUAUUUCGGUAUGUAAAGCUCUAUCAGCAGGGAAGAUGAUGACGGUACCUGACUAAGAAGCCCCGGCUAACUACGUG
rnacentral:rRNA from 1 species